AGUACAGCAGUUGCGUACAGCCAUGAUAAAAGGGAGGUGAAGGCCCAUUUCGCGAUUUUCUUUUCGUGGAGGUUGGGCUCGCGUGUUUCUCUGCGCUGUGGUCGUCAUGGACCGGAAGCGUGUGCAGCGCGCCUGCCUUGAGGCCAGCAUCAGGGAAGGGUGUUCCCAGGUGCAGAGGAAGUGUCCUUCACGUGUUCCUGGAGGACUUUCGGCUCGCAAGCGCUUCUCCAUUCUCCCAGCGUCUCGGGCCUGAUCUUCGAAAGGGAAGGACCUAGGAACUGAAGCCAGACCCCCACCUCUGCAAGAGUUCCUUGCUGGAGUCACUCAGCAGACCCCCACUCUCUGGACUUUGGGGACAUGAGACUGCUGAGCACCUCCACCAGAGGGAAAGUGGAAGUGGCCCCAAGAAAGAGGGAACCACGAAGCAGUUUCAGUGUGGAAAGAAGAAACCCUCUGGUGGCCUUGGCCCGGGAAUAUGGCGGUUUCAAGUGCAAUGCUGUACUGAAAUGGUACCAGAAGAAGACAGAAGGUUACAUGUCUCCCUCUGAUGCCGAGCCAAAGCUGGACUGUACUGCUGCCAUCUCAGCUCACUGCAACCUCCCUGCCAGAUUCUCCUGCCUCAGCCUGCCGAGUGCCUGCGAUUGCAGGCGCGCGCCGCCACGCCUGACUGGUUUUCGUAUUUUUUUGGUGGAGACGGGGUUUCGCUGUGUUGGCCGGGCUGGUCUCCAGCUCCUAACCGCGAGUGAUCCGCCAGCCUCGGCCUCCCGAGGUGCCGGGAUGGCAGACGGAGUCGCGUUCACUCAGUGCUCAAUGGUGCCCAGGCUGGAGUGCAGUGGCGUGAUCUCGGCUCGCUACAACCUCCACCUCCCAGCUGCCUGCCUUGGCCCCCCAAAGUGCCGAGAUUGCAGCCUCUGCCCGGCCGCCACCCCGUCUGGGAAGUGAGGAGCAUCUCUGCCUGGCCGCCCAUCGUCUGGGAUGUGAGGAGCCUCUCUGCCUGGCUGCCCAGUCUGGAAAGUGAGGAGCGUCUCUGCCCGGCCGCCAUCCCAUCUAGGAAGUGAGGAGCGUCUCUGCCAGGCCGCCCAUGGUCUGAGAUGUGGGGAGCGCCUCUGCCCUGCCGCCCCAUCUGGGAUGUGAGGAGUGUCUCUGCCCGGCCGCCCCGUCUGAGAAGUGAGGAGACCCUCUGCCUGGCAACCGCCCCGUCUGAGAAGAGAACUAUUUAUGCAGUUAGAAAGAGAGGGAAUAUUUAUGGAAGACACUGCGUGGCCUUUUCUAACACGGAAGCUGCAUUUAAGAGCCUUAGGGAUGAAGUGCCCUUUUGUGGAGGAGGCUCACUGAGCAGUGUUGGAGGCUGUGUUUGUGGUCGUGCUGGCUGUGAAACUGCCUCAGUCCUUCCUCUAGGACACACCCUCUCCAUCCUGGAAUAAUCUGCAGGAUUGCAACAUUGUUAAGCAGCCAGUAUUGCGGUGCCUUGUGCUUUUCACAUCCAGACAGGGUUGAUUCAGCCCUUUAUUCUUUUGAGGUCAUGUGAAACUAACAGACUUUGGACUAUGCAAAGAAUCAUUCAUGACGGAACAGUCACACACACAUUUUGUGGAACAAUAGAAUACAUGUGAGCUGCAUGUUAAACAUAAUUGGUUUGGAGCCUCCAUUUACUGGGGAGAAUAGAAAGAAAACAAUUGACAACAUCCUCAAAUGUAAACUAAUUUGCCUCCCUACCUCACACAAGAAGCCAGAGAUCUGCUUAAAAAGCUACUGAAAAGAAAUGCUGCUUCUCAUCUGGGAGCUGGUCCUGGGGAUGCUGGAGAUGUUCAAGCUCAUCCAUUCUUUAGACACAUUAACUGGGAAGAACUUCUGGCUCGAAAGGUGGAGCCCCCAUUUAAACCUCUGUUGGUGCAUCACCCGGAUCUCUGCCUUCAUGUUCACAUGGUGUUCUACCUGUCAAUCUGAAGAGGAUGUAAGUCAGUUUGAUUCCAAGUUUACACGUCAGACACCUGUCGACAGCCCAGAUGACUCAACUCUCAGUGAAAGUGCCCAUCAGGUCUUUCUGGGUUUUACUUAUGUGGCUCCAUCUGUACUUGAAGUGUGAAAGAAAAGUUUUCCUUUGAACCAAAAAUCCGAUCACCUCGAAGAUUUAUUGGCAGCCCACGAACACCUGUCAGCCCAAUUUUCUCCUGGGGAUUUCUGGGGAAGAGGCGCUUCGGCCAGCACAGCAAAUCCUCAGACACCUGUGGAAUACCCAAUGGAAACAAGUGGCACAGAGCAGAUGGAUGUGACAACGAGUGGGGAAGCAUUGGCACCACUUCCAAUACGACAGCCGAACUCUGGGCCAUACAAAAAACAAGCUUUUCCCAUGAUCUCCAAACGGCCAGAGCACCUGCGUAUGAAUCUAUGCCACAGCAAUGCUUUUAAUGAAUUUAAGGCAAAAAAGGUGGAGAGGCCGAUGUGUGAGCAUCCUACAGGGUGAAACAAGACUCAAAGUGACAAUUUCAGAGAGUCAGUGUCAUUACAUAGAACACUUUGGACAGAGGAAAAAUAAACAUGGAUUUUAAAAAAAUCAAUCAAUCGUGCAAAAAAACUUAAAGCAAAAUAGUACUGCUGAACACUCAGGCACAUCAAUUAAUUGUUUCCUCGUGACAUCUUCUCAACCUUAUCAAGGAUUUUCAUGUUGAUGACUCGAAACUGACAGUAUUAAGGGUAGGAUGUUGCUUCUGAAUCACUGUUGAGUUCUAACUGUGUCGAAGAAGGGUUAUCCUUUCAUUAGGCAAAGUACAAAAUUGCCUAUAAUACUUGCAACUAAGGACAAAUUAGCAUGCAAGCUUGGUCAAACUUUUUCCAGCAACAUGGAAUCAAAGACAAAAGAAACUUACCAAUUGAUGUUUUACGUGAACAUAACCUGAAUCUUUUUUUAUAUAAAUAUAUAUUUUUCAAGUAGAUUUUUGAUUCAGCUCAUUAUGAAAAACAUCCCAAACUUUAAAAUGCGAAAUUAUUAGUUGGUGUGAAGAAAGCCAAACAACUUCCGUUUCUUCUCUUGGUGAAAUAAUAAAAUGCAAAUGAAUCAUUGUUAACCACAUCUGUGGCUCGUUCGAGGGACUGGGGUGGACCUGGGGUUUAUUUUCAGUAACCCAGCUGCAAUACUCGUCUGUAAUAUGAGAAAAAAAAAGAAUCUAUUUAAUCAUUUCUACUUGCAGUACUGCUAUGUGCUAAGCUUAACUGGAAGCCUUGGAAUGGGCAUAAGUUGUAUGUCCUACAUUUCAUCAUUGUCCCGGGCCUGCAUUGCACUGGAAAAAAAAUCGCCACCUGUUCUUACACCAGUAUUUGGUUCAAGACGCCAAAUGUGUUCAGCCCAUGGCUGAAGAACAACAGAAGAGAGUCAGGAUAAAAAAUACAUACUGCGGUCGGCAAGGUGAGAGAGAUAGGGAUAUCCAGGGGAAGAGGGUGUUGCUGUGGCCCACUCUCUGUCUAAUCUCUUCACAGCAAAUUGGUAAGAUUUUCAGUUUUAUUUCUUUCUACUGUUUCUACUGUCUACCUUCCUUAUAUUUUUCUCCUCAACAGUUUUAAAAAGAAAAAAAGGUCUAUUUUUUUUUCUCCUAUACUGGGGCUACAUUUUUUUAUUGUAAAAAUAUUUGAUGGCCUUUUGAUGAAUGUCUUCCACAGUAAAUAAGAAAACUUAGUGGCUUCAUUUAGGAAACAUGUUAACAGGACACUAUGUUUUUGAAAUUAUAACCAAAUCUACAUAAAUGAUUUACAGGUACAAAGAAUAAAAGUAAAGGUAACUUUACCUUCCUUAAAUAUUUCCUGCCUUAAAGAGAGCAUUUCCAUGACUUUAGCUAGUGAAAGGGUUUAAUAUCUGCAGAGCUUUGUAAAAAUAUAUUUCAGUGCAUACUGGUAUAACAGAUGAUCAUGCAGUUGCAGUUGAGUUUUACCACCUCUUUUUGUUUGUCUUUUAUAAUGUCUUCAGUCUGAGCAUGCAGUCAAUCUGUAAUAUUUUGCAACCCUAGGAUUUUUUCAAAUAGAUCCUUUUUGAGCCAUAGGAUCCAAGCCAUAAAAUUCUUUAUGCAUGAUGAAUUCAGUCAGAAAAGAGCAAGGCUUUGCUUUUUGAAAUUGCAACUCAAAUGAGAUGGGAUGAAAUCCUAUGACAGUAAGCAAAAACAGAACCAUGAAAAAUGAUUGGAAAUAUACCUUUUCAAUUGUGGCAAUAAUUGAAAGAAUCGAUAAAAGUUCAUCUUUGGACAGAAAGCCUUUUAAAAAAAAUCACUCCCUCUUCCCCCUCCUCCCUUAUUGCAGCAGCCUACUGAGAACUUUAUGACUGUUGCUGGUAACUUAGAAGCUACAAUAAUAAUUAAGGGCAGAAAUUAUACUUAAAGUGUAGAUCCUUGUUCUCUGACAAUUUGUGAUGUCUGAAAAAACAGAACCUGAAAAGCUAUGGUGACGUGUACAGGCAUUAUUUCAGACUGUAAAUGGCUUGUGAUACUCUUGAUACUUGUUUUCAAAUAUGUUUACUAACUGUAGUGUUGACUGCCUGACCAAAUUCCAGUGAAACUUAUACACCAAAAUAUUCCUCCUAGGUCCUAUUUGCUAGUAACAUGAGCACUGUGAUUGGCUGGCUAUAACCACCCCAGUUAAACCAUUUUGAUAAUUAGUAGUGCCAGCAAUAGUGGCAAACGCUGCAACUUUUCUGCAUAAAAAGCAUUAAUUGCACAGCUACCAUCCACACAAAUACAUAGUUUUUCUGACUUCACAUUUAUUAAGUGAAAUUAAUUUCCCAUGCUGUGGAAAGUUUAUUGAGAACUUGUUUCAUAAAUGGAUAUCCCUACUAUGACUGUGAAAACGUGUCAAGUGUCACAUUAGUGUCACAGAAAGCACACACCCGUGCAAUAUGCCUUAUCUAUCUUUAUUUGUAAAAAUCCAAGCAUAGUUUAAAAUAUGAAGUCAAUAUUACCAGUCUUCAGUUUCUAAGAGGGUUCUUUAUGAUUAUACUAAGUGUAUAAAAGAGUUUAAGUGCUUUCUUUUUCAUCACUUACUUUCUUUAAAAUCAGCUAUUACAGGAUUUUUUUUAUUUUAUACAUGCUGUUUUUUAAGUAAAAUAUAAUCACUGAAUUGAAGUUUACUAAUUUGAUUUUAUAAGGUUUGUAGCAUUACAGAAUAACUAAACUGGGACUUAUAAACCAGCUGUGAUUAACAAUGUAAAGUAUUAAUUAUUGAACUUUGAACCAGAUUUUUAGGAAAAUUAUGUUCUUUUUCCCCUUUUAUGGUCUUAACUAAUUUGAAUCCUUCAAGAAGGAUUUUUCCAUACUAUUUUUUGAGAUAGAAGAUAAUUUGAGGGGAGGGGUGGAGGAUGCAUGUAUGAUACUCCAAAAUGUCAACAUUCUUUACUAUAGGUAAUAAGUGAUUAUAAACAAGAUGCAUUUUAGAUAGCAUUAAUAUAUUGAGCCUUGGAUUAUAUAUUUGAUAUAGGACCUGUUUUGAAUAUUCAGUUAAUCAUAUGGUUCCUAGUUUACAAGAAGAGCUAGAUCUAAGAUUAUUCCCAUGAGAAAUGUUGAAUUUAUGAAGAAUAGAUUUUGAGGCUUUGAAAAUGGUUAAUUUCUCAAAAACAUCAAUGUCCAAACAUCUACCUUUUUUCAUAGGAGUAGACACUAGCAAGCUGGACAAACUAUCAUAAAAGUAUUUGUCACACAUAACCUGUGGUCUGUUGUUGAUUAAUACAGUACUUUUUCUUGUGUGAUUCUUAACAUUAUAGCACAAGUAUUAUCUCAGUGGAUUAUCUGGAAUAACAUCUGAAAGAUGGGUUCGUGUAUGUUUGUGUUUGCGCUUUAAAUUAUUGUUUCUCCUAUCCCAAGUUGGCUUUGCAUCUAUCAGUAAAUAAAACUAUUCAGCUGCGUUAUCAGGAGUGCUGUGCUUUUCUGCUUUUCAUCUUGUAUUUAGUUUACUGUAUUAUUUGAUUUUGGAUUGAAUGAAUGUAAAUAGAAAUUAAAUGCAAAUUUGAAUGAACAUAAAA